rnacentral:lncRNA from 1 species
ACUUGGCUGAAAUUAAUGAAUUACUGACAUGCUUAAUACAGGAGAUUAACAGAUUAAAUAAGCGUGAUUUUUUUUUAAUAUAAAAUAUUAAGUUUUUAUUUCAAUUACUAUAAUUGAAAUUUUAUAUUAAUUUGAGAUAGAAGUUAUUUUGAUACUUGUUAUGUAUACAUUUGUAUGUAAUAAACCUAACCAACUUCUUAAUAUUAGUCAGACCGUACGCGUACGGUCCAAAUACUCAUACGGUCUGGAACAUAUACAAAUGUACUUAUCAUGUUUCUGAACUAAUUUAUUUUGCACAUAAAAAAAACUUUUAUUGUUAUUUAAUAAUGAAAUAAGGCUAUUUCAUCAAUACUUUUUUUUUCUUAUUAAAUGAUUUAUUUUACUACAUGA